GACGAACGCUGGCGGCGUGCCUAAUACAUGCAAGUAGAACGCUGAAGGAGGAGCUUGCUUCUCCGGAUGAGUUGCGAACGGGUGAGUAACGCGUAGGUAACCUGCCUGGUAGCGGGGGAUAACUAUUGGAAACGAUAGCUAAUACCGCAUAACAGUAGAUAUUGCAUGAUAUCUGCUUGAAAGGUGCAAUUGCAUCACUACCAGAUGGACCUGCGUUGUAUUAGCUAGUUGGUGGGGUAACGGCUCACCAAGGCGACGAUACAUAGCCGACCUGAGAGGGUGAUCGGCCACACUGGGACUGAGACACGGCCCAGACUCCUACGGGAGGCAGCAGUAGGGAAUCUUCGGCAAUGGACGGAAGUCUGACCGAGCAACGUCGCGUGAGUGAAGAAGGUUUUCGGACCGUAAAGCUCUGUUGUAAGAGAAGAACGAGUGUGAGAGUGGAAAGUUCACACUGUGACGGUAUCUACCA
rnacentral:rRNA from 1 species